rnacentral:rRNA from 1 species
UACGUAGGGUGCGAGCGUUAAUCGGAAUUACUGGGCGUAAAGCGUGCGCAGGCGGUGAUGUAAGCCAGAUGUGAAAUCCCCGGGCUCAACCUGGGAACUGCAUUUGUGACUGCAUCGCUGGAGUGCGGCAGAGGGGGAUGGAAUUCCGCGUGUAGCAGUGAAAUGCGUAGAUAUGCGGAGGAACACCGAUGGCGAAGGCAAUCCCCUGGGCCUGCACUGACGCUCAUGCACGAAAGCGUGGGGAGCAAACAGG